rnacentral:rRNA from 1 species
GAUGAACGCUGGCGGCGUGCCUAAUACAUGCAAGUCGAGCGAAUGGAUUAAGAGCUUGCUCUUAUGAAGUUAGCGGCGGACGGGUGAGUAACACGUGGGUAACCUGCCCAUAAGACUGGGAUAACUCCGGGAAACCGGGGCUAAUACCGGAUAACAUUUUGAACCGCAUGGUUCGAAAUUGAAAGGCGGCUUCGGCUGUCACUUAUGGAUGGACCCGGGUCGCAUUAGCUAGUUGGUGAGGUAACGGCUACCCAAGGCAACGAGGCGUAGCCGACCUGAGAGGGUGAUCGGCCACACUGGGACUGAGACACGGCCCAGACUCCUACGGGAGGCAGCAGUAGGGAAUCUUCCGCAAUGGACGAAAGUCUGACGGAGCAACGCCGCGUGAGUGAUGAAGGCUUUCGGGUCGUAAAACUCUGUUGUUAGGGAAGAACAAGUGCUAGUUGAAUAAGCUGGCACCUUGACGGUACCUAACCAGAAAGCCACGGCUAACUACGUGCCAGCAGCCGCCGUAA